GAACACGUAGCUCAGUGGUAGAGCCCCGGCUCUCAUCCGGGAGGACGCCGGUUCGAGCCCGGCCGUGUUCU
rnacentral:tRNA from 1 species